GAUGAAGAACGUAGCGAAAUGCGAUACUUGGUGUGAAUUGCAGAAUCCCGUGAACCAUCGAGUCUUUGAACGCAAGUUGCGCCCGAAGCCAUUAGGCCGAGGGCACGCCUGCCUGGGCGUCACACGUCGUUGCCCCCCCAUCUACUCCUUCGGGAUUGCGGGGGGCGGAUGAUGGCCUCCCGUGCGCCUCGCCGCGCGGUUGGCAUAAAUGCCAAGUCCUCGGCGACGCACGCCACGACAAUCGGUGGUUGCGAAACCUCGGUUGCCCGUCGUGUGCGGUCGUCGCGCAUCGAGGGCUCGAAAAAAUUGCCGGGUUCCGGCUCGGCUUUCAACGCGACCCCAGGUCAGGCGGGGUUACCCGCUGAAUUUAAGCAUAUCAAUACGGAGGA
rnacentral:misc_RNA from 1 species